ACAAUUGCAGCUGCUUAGCUAAAAAAUGUUAAUCGGAAGAAACAAAAGUGGAUGGCGUGGUGCCAGUAGAUGGUAUCGAUAUGAUCUAGUCUCAAUUAAGUUAGUCGCAGUUAAGUGUUUAAAAAAAGUUUGACCAUUUUUUUUUAGACUAAUUUUUUAAUGUAUUGUGCUUGAAGAACGUUGUUUAUUACAUAUUAAAUUUAAAUAUUUAUUUUCAAACGAAAAAUAAAACCUGUAAACAAUUUCUCUCUAAAGUUACAAUUUCUCUCUAAAGUUCAAGUGCCAGUGAAACGAACGAUAGAAAAAAAAGAAGCAUUCAAAAUGUUCGCAAAAUUUUUGGUUUGGAUAUAAAAAACCAAGUGAAAAUGAUACUGGAAAGACUGUUUACCGUUUAACUCCUGUCCCAAUCUAACCUAGUGGGUUUAAAAAAAAGGGAACGCGCUGGAAACAUGAGUGGAUUAAAUAGAUCAGCCCUUUUUGAAUUAAUAGUCGAAGUGGUAACCAGCUAGAAGUCGUAACCUGCUCGUAUGAAAAGAUUUCUCGACGUGAAAUCGUUAGUUUUAUUCCACAACGCCAAGAAACAGAGCUCGCUCAAGAAACAGAAAAGAAAGAGAAAGAUGAAAAAAUACUCUGUUGAACAAUACUAUUGUUU